GUGACUGAAGGCGUUGUCAAAUCCUCUGAUUGCACUUCAACUUCAUUUUGAGUAUAGAAAGUGGUCAAGGCUGUGCGACAAAUUUCGGGGCAUUGAUAUCCUUGAGGGAUAACUAUUGACACCUUAGCCUUGCCAUUAGUGUUUCUAACGAUUUCAUUCCCCGUGCUUAUUGCAUCGAGGAUGGCAACGGGGUCCAUGCUUCUCAACGGAGGGGUAGCGGGUGCGUUGGUGGUUGCGAGCCCUGAUGUCUCCCAGCCAGAUUCUUGCAUUAGCUCCGGUGGAACGUCCUCCCAUCCGUCAUCCCAUCCACCUGUUGCCAUUUUGUUUAUAUUCACCUAUACACAUUUAUUUAUUUAUUUAUUUAGGAAGAAUCAAGGCCAAAUCAUGUUAAAAAACAACAAACACUGACCAUACAUAAAAACAAAGAUAAUAAUACAAAAGAUCACUACAUCACAGACAAUUAACAAUGGAUAACAUACAACAUAGUCAGUUAUAACAUAUAUUUCGAAUGCAGGACAUUUUCCUUUAGAAAUUUAGCAAAUCCC
rnacentral:lncRNA from 1 species